rnacentral:rRNA from 1 species
GACGAACGCUGGCGGCGUGCUUAACACAUGCAAGUCGAACGGAAAGGCCCUGCUUUUGUGGGGUGCUCGAGUGGCGAACGGGUGAGUAACACGUGAGUAACCUGCCCUUGACUUUGGGAUAACUUCAGGAAACUGGGGCUAAUACCGGAUAGGAGCUCCUGCUGCAUGGUGGGGGUUGGAAAGUUUCGGCGGUUGGGGAUGGACUCGCGGCUUAUCAGCUUGUUGGUGGGGUAGUGGCUUACCAAGGCUUUGACGGGUAGCCGGCCUGGGAGGGUGACCGGCCACAUGGGACUGGGGUAAGGACCAGGAGCCCAACGGGGGCAAGGGGGGGGAAUAUUACCACAAGGGGCGGAGGCCGAAACAACCACCGCCGGUUCGGGAAGAACGGCUUUCGGGUUGUAACCCGUUUCCGCCUGUAACGAGGCGUAGGGACGGUAAUUGGUAAAGAAGCACCGGCUAACUACGUG